GGGCCCGUGGUGUAAUCUGGUAGCAUUGCACGUUCGGGACGUGUAGAUUCGAGUUCAAAUCUCGGCGGGCCCA
rnacentral:tRNA from 1 species